rnacentral:rRNA from 1 species
GACGAACGCUGGCGGCGUGCUUAACACAUGCAAGUCGAACGGAAAGGCCCCUUUGGGGGUACUCGAGUGGCGAACGGGUGAGUAACACGUGAGUAACCUGCCCUUGACUUCGGGAUAACUUCAGGAAACUGGGGCUAAUACCGGAUAGGAAUCCUUGCUGCAUGGUGGGGGUUGGAAAGCUUCGGCGGUUUUGGAUGGGCUCGCGGCUUAUCAGCUUGUUGGUGGGGUAGUGGCUUACCAAGGCUUUGACGGGUAGCCGGCCUGAGAGGGCGACCGGCCACAUUGGGACUGAGAUACGGCCCAGACUCCUACGGGAGGCAGCAGUGGGGAAUAUUGCACAAUGGGCGGAAGCCUGAUGCAGCAACGCCGCGUGCGGGAUGACGGCCUUCGGGUUGUAAACCGCUUUCAGCAGGGGCGAAGCUUUUGUGACGGUACCUGCAGAAGAAGCACCGGCUAACUACGUG